CAGUAAUCCUCGCUGUGAUUGGUGACUGCUGUUCAGGUGGUGAUUGGCCACGCAGUGAGCAGUGGGCGGGGUCAGCGCGGUGUGAGAGCUUGGUGCGGCGGGCACGAGAUGGGUUAGCUCGUGACCGACGGUUUGAGUGCGAAGUCCCUCGUGCACUGACUAACUGUCACUUGGCGGAUAGGGACACUGGGGGCCGGGGGACACGAGUCUCUCACAGAGGCAGAGAGCACGUACGUGGGGGUGGGCCGUGCUUCUCGUGUGUGCUCUGCAGCUCUGGGGCCAUCUCAGGACAGCCUGGCUGAGGUAGUGUGAGGUCACGUAGGCUGAGUGUAAACCGAGCUCACAGUGCAGCUCGCAGGGUUAUGGCUUCCAUGACAGAUUUAUUAUGCAGUGUUUUUAUAGUCCGUCUAGGCAGUCAGUCAGCGCGGUGAUAAACAGUCUGACACCAAUUAUACAUGUAGGGUUAAACUCCCACUGUAUGCCAUCCGGUACUAUAGGCACUCAAACCACAUCCUCUCAAUGAAGUGUUCUCGUUGCUAUGGCCGUCGUCGUCCGAUUGUAAUCUUGGAA